GGAGGGUUGGCCGAGUCUGGCUGAUGGCAGCGCACUGAAAAUGCGUAGGCGGGGGAGACUCCGUACGAGGGUUCGAAUCCCUUACCCUCGCC
rnacentral:tRNA from 1 species